AUUGAACGCUGGCGGCAGGCCUAACACAUGCAAGUCGAGCGGACGAGAGGAGCUUGCUCCUCGAUUCAGCGGCGGACGGGUGAGUAAUGCCUAGGAAUCUGCCCAGUAGUGGGGGACAACGUUUCGAAAGGAACGCUAAUACCGCAUACGUCCUACGGGAGAAAGUGGGGGAUCUUCGGACCUCACGCUAUUGGAUGAGCCUAGGUCGGAUUAGCUAGUUGGUAGGGUAAAGGCCUACAAGGCGACGAUCCGUAACUGGUCUGAGAGGAUGAUCAGUCACACUGGAACUGAGACACGGUCCAGACUCCUACGGGAGGCAGCAGUGGGGAAUAUUGGACAAUGGGCGCAAGCCUGAUCCAGCCAUGCCGCGUGUGUGAAGAAGGCCCUCGGGUCGUAAAGCACUUUAAGUUGGGAGGAAGGGCUUACAGCAAAUACCUGUGAGUUUUGACGUUACCGACAGAAUAAGCGCCGGCUAACUUCGUGCCAGCAGCCGCAGUAA
rnacentral:rRNA from 1 species